UCUGACAUUCAACACACUUUUAAUUAUGCAUCAGUCAAUAAGCCUUCAUGACUAAACCCUAAGCCGGAAUUCAAACACAUGCAUUACAACAUGGUUUCUACUCACAUACACUAACAUGGUGAGAUUGUUGUUACAAAAAGGAAUCUAAUAAAGUGAUAGACUAAGCCAGGUGACACUACUGGAAAAAUAAUAAUUUCCGACGGCUAAUUACCGAAGGCCUUGUGGCCUUCGGUAAAUGUAUUUUACCGAAGGCUUUUCCGAAGGCUUGUGUAGUAUCACUUUAUCGAAGGGUAAUGGCCGUCUGUAAUGCACAGGAGUGAUUACCGAAGGUAAAUGACCGUCGGUAAGUGAAUGAUGUAUAUGAAAUUAGAAAGUGAAAUAUUUCCCUCCCCUCAUUUCGCGAAAACCCCUUCUUCCCCAAUAUUGAGAUUCUGUGCCCAUCCUCCCUCGACGAACUGACUGUGUCACGUGUGCAGACUGCUUCCCACCCUAACCAUAAUUGGGAUACGAUUCUUCCCCAGUCCUCCAUUAUAGUGUUCUGAGCUGAGGAAGGUGGUGGGUGGUUCAGUUGAAGGCUACCAUUGUCGAGGGAAGAUAUUCGAGGAGGCGGCGUAGACGAGGCGGCGCAACCAGGGGAGUGUCGCUCUGUGAGAAGGUCUUCCACUACCGCUUCAGAGGCUAUUGAAGGGGCUACCGUCGAGGUUUUUUGGAGGAAGACCCACUGUUCAAUUGAAUAAAGUUGGUGUCAAAUUUGGAGGUGUUGCAAAUUUGGAGGAGUUAAGCAUCUGAAACAAGUAUGUACUCAAUCAUAUUUUAUUGAAGUUUUCAAAGUCCUGUUUUUGGUGCCUGAAUGUGCAUUUAUUGUAAACUUUGUUGGGUAUGUGCUGAUUUUAGCAUUGUAAAUAACCUUAUUGGAAUAUUUUGAAUUGUGGACUUGUAUUUGAUUUAAAUUCUGAUUUGUAUGGUAAAAAACUACAUAAUAGACCUAUAAUCCGUGCCUUUGGUUCAUGUUUAUGGUCCAAACUUGAUCUCACUCUCUCCCUUUAUGUCCAACAUCCAACCACAUUUAAAGUUAGUCUUUAUGUUUGACUAAGAAACACAAAAUACUAAAGUAGGCUACCAAACUACACAGACACUGUUCUAAAAAGUUUAGAACAGUUAAACCUACCUAGUACAAAAAUGACACUACCAAAAGUACCUAAAACUCAAAACAUGACUACCUAGAACCUAAAACUAGUUAGCAGAAUAGGAUAAAAGUCAUAAUAUGGACAAGGUUAAGAACCUUGUCCUUCCUAGCCAAUUAGUCUUUGGUUGUUUCUUACCUUAGUGUGAAGGACCAUUUGAACAGUGCACAGUAGUUUGUAAUGACCAAAUACACUUGCAUAAUUGGUUCAAAAACAGAAAGGUACACAACUUCUCAAAAUCACUAUUGUAGUUGCUAUUUAUGCAGCAAAAAGUGCUAAAACAGCACUAUAAAUGACCAAAACAGCAGAAUCAAAGAUAGCUAGAUCAAUAAACAUGUAGGAAAAAUCCUAAACAACAAGAUCUAGCUUGAACAUCUGAGCUAGGAGAAUUAAAAUGGGCUAAAACACCAAAGAAAAACAAUGGCAAACAGCAAUAAAAAUGAACUCUGCAC